GUUCAUACGAGGAGCUGACUGUGAUUCAGAGCCCAUCUAGUAUCACUGUGAAUGAAGGACAAUCUGAUCAAAUCAGCUGCUGCUGGAAUAAAACAAAAGAAGAAAACUAUGAUUUUAAAGUAGCUUGGUAUAAGGAUAAUGAAAGAAUACCGGUAGAAAAGCGGCUAAAUCAAACUUCCCCUAUGAAAAACUGCUCCUUUCUGAAAAUCACAAAUAUAGGUAAAAAUGACACUGGAGAUUAUGUUUGUAAAGUGAUUCAGGACAUACCAGUUCUGCUAGAAUAUGAGGGACAAAGACACUGGAGAUUUAUGUUUGUAAAGUGAUUCAGGACAUACCAGUUCUGCUAGAAUAUGAGGACAAACAACAUACCUGAAUGUCAGUGAAGGUGAACACAGUACUGAGGCAACAACUCAAAAUAUUGUUCAUAUGGUUUCCAGGCCCACAAUCAAAAAGCCAGGUGUAGUUGAUCAUCCGAAGAGAAAUCCAGAAGAUUAUUUGGAUCCUAAGGGUAGUUCGCGGGAGGUUGUGAUCAUUUAUAUUUUCAGAAGUCUGCCCUUCAUCUGUCUGUUGGUGGCGUUCUUUUACCUAAACAGAGACAAAAAACACGUCACAUCAUCAAGACCAGCAGUUGAGCAUGCUGUUGAGCAAGGACCAGAUGAAGACCUGGAGGCUGGAGAGACACAGAGGAAUGAAACUGAAGAGGUGAAACAGGGUGAGAAUAUUUCAGAACAGGAGAAAGGGAGGGUCAACAACGAGAAACCUGAAGUUACUGUUGCAACAGAAGAAGAAAAACAGACUGCCGUAGUUGUGAGCAUUGAACAAGGUGCAUCUCCAAUGCAUGACAAUGAAAACAAGAGCAUUUCUGUUACGAACACUGAUGAAAAGACACAUCUAAUGACUGUUUCUGUGCUGGCCGACUUAGUUGCAGCUCUGUGAGACACACAGGAAAUGGAGCUAUGGGUGUGCUGUUCAGGUCUAUGAUGUCACUUCCUGCAUGAUAGCUUGUUUGCAGACUCAUUAUGGUUUGCAAUGACUCUUACUGAAUUCUGAAAGUAGAUAAAAAUAAAAUAUGUUAAUGCAUGAACCUUUCUGUGUGAUUGUGUAUAUGGUUGUGCUCAGUGUGUCCGAGGUGACUCGAGUAUGAGAGCAGUGUUGUGGUUUACUCUGGGCUUCGCUGUGAUAAAAUUAGUUGUGUGGGGAGGGGGUGAAAAUCUGAGAGUACGAGUCUCUCGUGCGUGUGAAAGAUUGUGAUCUGGGAGUAAAACAGAGUUCAGAUUCUCUGCAGAUGCUCAGAAAUGAAGUGUUCCUCUAGACUCCUGUGUGGACUCCUCAUGUCAUGCCUUUGUUUCAGAGGUAAGUGCCACACAAAACUCCUUCCUGAAUAGGAAAACCAGGACAGAUGCUCCAAGAUACUGUUCAGUAUUAGUAACUAAAAAAAAAAAAAAAAACCCUUCAAAUGAUUGUAGAGCUGUGAGAUAAUGCUGCCUUGCUAUGUUCAGUUGGAGACAUUUUGUACCGAAUUCUGAAAGUAGAUAAAAAUAAAAUAUGUUAAUGCAUGAACCUUUCUGUGUGAUUGUGUAUAUGGUUGUGCUCAGUGUGUCCGAGGUGACUCGAGUAUGAGAGCAGUGUUGUGGUUUACUCUGGGCUUCGCUGUGAUAAAAUUAGUUGUGUGGGGAGGGGGUGAAAAUCUGAGAGUACGAGUCUCUCGUGCGUGUGAAAGAUUGUGAUCUGGGAGUAAAACAGAGUUCAGA
rnacentral:lncRNA from 1 species